rnacentral:rRNA from 1 species
GACGAACGCUGGCGGCGUGCUUAACACAUGCAAGUCGAACGAGACGAUUGAAAGCUUGCUUUUGAAAGUCGAGUGGCAAACGGGUGAGUAACGCGUAGACAACCUGCCUUUGAGAUGGGGACAACAGUUCGAAAGGACUGCUAAUACCGAAUGUUGUAUAUUUUCCACAUGGAAGAUAUAUUAAAGAUGGCUUCUAUUUAUAAGCUAUCGCUCAAAGAUGGGUCUGCGUCUGAUUAGCUAGUUGGUGGGGUAAUGGCCUACCAAGGCAACGAUCAGUAGCCGGUCUGAGAGGAUGAACGGCCACAUUGGGACUGAGAUACGG